AUUGAACGCUGGCGGCAGGCCUAACACAUGCAAGUCGAACGAGUGGCGGACGGGUGAGUACUGUCUGGGAAACUGCCUGAUGGAGGGGGAUAACUACUGGAAACGGUAGCUAAUACCGCAUACCAUCGGAUGUGCCCAGAUGGUAUUAGCUUGUUGGUGGGGUAACGGCUCACCAAGGCGACGAUCCCUAGCUGGUCUGAGAGGAUGACCGGCCACACUGUAACGUAUCCACGGUCCAUACUCCUACGGGAGGCAGCAGUUGGGAAUAUUGCACAAUGGUCGCAAUCCUGAUGCAGCCAUGCCGCGUGUGUGAAGAAGGCCUUCGGGGUGUAAAGCACUUUCAGCGGGGAGGCGUUACCCGCAGAAGAAGCACCGGCUAACGCCGUGCCAGCAGCCGCGGUAAUUC
rnacentral:rRNA from 1 species